UAGGGAAUCUUCCGCAAUGGGCGAAAGCUUGACGGAGCAACGCCGCGUGAGUGAUGAAGGUCUUCGGAUCGUAAAACUCUGUUAUUAGGGAAGAACAAAUGUGUAAGUAACUAUGCACGUCUUGUCGGUACCUAAUCAGAAAGCCACGGCUAACUACGUGCCAGCAGCCGCGGUAAUACGUAGGUGGCAAGCGUUAUCCGGAAUUAUUGGGCGUAAAGCGCGCGUAGGCGGUUUUUUAAGUCUGAUGUGAAAGCCCACGGCUCAACCGUGGAGGGUCAUUGGAAACUGGAAAACUUGAGUGCAGAAGAGGAAAGUGGAAUUCCAUGUGUAGCGGUGAAAUGCGCAGAGACAUGGAGGAACACCAGUGGCGAAGGCGACUUUCUGGUCUGUAACUGACGCUGAUGUGCGAAAGCGUGGGGAUCAAACAGG
rnacentral:rRNA from 1 species